GCAGGGCCGCUGCUCGGCCAGCAUGCCGGCGGCAGUCAGCAGGGUGAGGGGCUGUGCGCUCAGCUUCGGCUGCCGUUAACGCUGGGAAUGCCAGUCGUGUUCGUUCACGUUGGUGGAGAAAUAAAAUCCACCAGGUGAGGAUCUCUUUUGUAGACUAGCAUACAUCUCUGGAAAGCCAGGUAAAGUGAGUUACUGAAACAGACGCUAUGACAAAAUCUCACAAUUCCACAUUGCUUCAAAAUAACUGGGUUUGACUCAUAUAUUUGAUUAUUUGAAAACGUUUUCCAAAGCGUGAUAGGCAAUGCAUAUGAAAAAGCUAUGUUACCUUUAUCUCAGGGGUUCUUUUUGGUCUAGAGCACAAGUCUUAGGAAAAAUUUUUUCACUGAAAGGGUUAUCAAACAUUGGAACAGGCUGCCCAGGGAAGGAGUUGAGUCAACGUCCCUGGACAUAUUUAAAAGGCGAGUAGACAUGGUGCUUAGGGCCAUGGUUUAGUGGUGGUUUUGGCAGUGUUAGGUUAAUGGUUGGACUCAAUGAUCCUAAAGGUCUCUUCCAACCUAGACGAUUCUGUGAUUCUAUUCUAUGACAAAUUAAAUGUAAGGCAUAUUAAGAUGGAAAGCCUUCCCACAUCCCACAAUCAAAACAUUAAGUGAAAAUACCAAGGCCAAAACCAGCCCCAAAGCUUUCUCUUUUCUCCCACUGUUAAUUUGGCAAUCUGCAUAAAGGAUACAAUGAAACAUGAGUAGUGUUAAGUCACAUUCCAUGUUUUGUUGUAACUUUGUCAUUUAUGCGUAUGCAGCUUGCUGUGAUGCCAGUGGUAAAUGGAGUCUUGAAUCUUUUGUCUUUCAUUUUCCACAUUAUUUUCAUUAAUUCGAUUUUGAACCUGCAAAUUAUGCAAAGAAACCCCCAAAAGUUAUCUUUCUAGCUAAGUUUCAUCUUAAUCAUAUUUUUAACAUGCUGAAAAUUUUACUGAAACGCUGUUAAGUAUUGACUGAAGAUGAAGUAUGAUUAUGAAAACUGAAGAACAUCCAUUGCUACUGAUAAAAGUAAUUCCUGUCAGAUAAUAUCCACCCAAUGAUAUAAUAUUACUUUUUCCACAAAGGUCUUUACAUUCGUUUAACAUAAUCUUUGGCCAAACAUGUUUAACUUUACCUAGUCAUGAUUUGGUUGUUUUGUGGGUUGUUUGUUUGUUUUGGAAAAGCAGCUAAAUAUUUUUCCACGGGGAAGAUAAAUGAGAGAAUACUAGCAUGCUGUAGGAGUUUUUCUAUUUAGCACUGUAGGAUUUGAAAUGUUCUGUGUCUUCCAGGUAGUUACUACGUACUUUGUAUGCUGCUUUUCCAUCUGAGUUAACUGAUCCUGAUGUUACUAAUUAAUUAACCUGUGUGGUGCUCUUACUGAGUUUGCAUGUGGUGAGGACACUUGAAAGGUGUUAAUUAAAAGUAUGUGUGAAAAUAAUUGAUAUACCUUGACUAGCUUUAGCAAAACACUGAGCCCAGACUGACUGCAAUAUUACAGCUGUGCCUGAAAGCCUAUUAGGCUGCAGUUCUUCUGUGCUAAGUACUCUACCCUUAUUAAACAAUUUAUCAUCUGAAAGACUGUAUGAAUAACUGAAGCAAGCUGCAGACAUAUAUAAUUUUUUUUUUUGCACAGACUGCUCUCUGUGUGUAUUCACAGACACAACAAAAUAAUUGUUGACAAUAAUUGCCAUUAUUGUAGCUUUUAGAUUUGACAUUUCUUAUAUCAGAUGCUAAUUCUGGGAAGUCUGGAGUUCAGUAGGAGUUCAUGUUGCCCAUGGGAAUUCUGCAUGUGGGCAUAGUUAGGUACAAGCAUUGUAUCCUUGCAUUUUAAAAAGCUUUUCAAUUAGAAAUUACAGGUAAAGCUGUUGUUAGGAAAAAUGCCUUCAGUUUCGUAAGAUGUAUUACAAAAAGGGUGAGUAUUCUUAAUGUCCGGGAACUAUAAAUAAAGUUUACCUCAUGUUUCCAGCUUCUCCCAGAUGUGUUUCUUUUUCUAAGAUAUCAGCAAAAGACAAAUCAUUGUUUAUGUGCAUAUAGAGAGACUUCUUAUUUCUGCAUUAAUACUUGCUUUUGGCAUGGCAAAGUGUUUAAGAAUCUGUUGGACUGCCUCAUCAGCAUUUACUCAGUGUCUUCAGAGUAAAUGGAUUCAGAGUGUGUUCAGAGGGAUGGAUUCAGCAAAGGGCAGUUAGGAGCAGUGUCAUACAUAGAGUCCUAACCUGUUGUCUGCUUCCUGUUUCUCAGUUUCGGAUGGUGUACUGGGACGUCUCAGGAAGAAGCCGGCUGAAAUGUAAUCUGACUAGGACAGGGAUCCUGUUUGUAACGUAGAGGGAAAUUUUGUUGGUAGAAUCAGGAGGUUCACUUUAUUGCUUGCUCUGUGAGUUUUCCUGGAAUUUUACAUGCUAACAAUUUUUUUUUUCCUCAGUUGUUUUUCUCUGGACGUUGCUAUAGCUGUGCAUACCUUGCAGUGCCACCAUGUGCUGAGAACUACAGUACUUCCCAGUUCUCUUCAGGUUCAGGUCAAUGCAAUAGUUUUGAUGAGUAACCCCCCUAAUCAAGCGCACACUGAAGAGAUAGCCCAUUUUUUUUGCUGGGACUUUUCAUGGGCUCACAGGUGCACCAGGAGUGUUAUCAAACAUUAUGAAACAAUGCACAGAUCAUCAGCUGGAGGAGAUGCUGACUUUUCAGAGGUUGAGAUCUUUCAGAGUCACUGGGACUCUUGGCAGAACCUGUUGCUGUUAUUACCUCACCCAGAGUCCUGCACCAGGAAAGGAAGAGCCCCAGUCAGCAGAACAGGCUGGGGAUUGCCUGGCCAGGGAGAAGCUUCUGCUGAGAAGGACCUGGGAGGUCCCUGUAGGUGCUAAACCGCCAUGAGCCAGCAGCAUGAAAGGCCAAGAGCGUGCUGGGCUACAUCAAGAGGAGCACAGCCAGCAGCAGAUCAAGCCCAGCGUUCUCCUUCGAUGUGCUGGUUCUUUGCCUGUGGAUUUCUCCUCUGGAAAAAAUGUGUCCACACCUGAAGGCUCCUUCCAGCUGGCUAUGUAGAAAGGUGCGUUGCUUCUAUGGCAAGUGUUUCUAUGACUUAGUGACUCCUUUUUUGAGAAGUAUCUUGAAAAUUCAUAUAGAAUUAAAAAAAAAAUUAAGUUUCUUAUAACGGUUUCAAAGAAUGUUCAUGGAAAUAGUACUUAUUCUCCACAGCUACAUUAUAUUUUCUUUGGGACUUAACAGGAUGCAUGUAUCGUUUGCUCCUCAGUGUGUAUCCUUUUUGAUCAGGAGCCACCUAGCCAAAACUUGAUGCAACUACAUGGAUGUUCACAGCAGCACUGACGUAACAUAUUCCUUAAUUUAUCUUUCCUAUAUACAUGUGCCUCUUCCAUUUAAACCAAUGCAUGUAUAGAGUCAGACUAUAACCUGCAAUAGCGGAAUAUCAAGCAUACUGCGUGAGGUAGGAUUGUAGAAUGGCCGAGGUUGGAAGGGACCUUUCAGAUCAUCGAUUCCAACCGUUAACCCAACACUGCCAAAACCAGCACUAAACCACGUCCCUCAGCACCGCGUCUGCCCGUCCUUUAAAUACCUCCAGGGAUGGCGAUUCCACCACUUCCCUGGGCAGCCUGUUCCAACGCUUGACAACCCUCUCCGCGAAGAAUUUUUUCCUGCUAUCCGGAUGAGCUCUCGGCCUCCUGCUGUGCUGCUACACAGACAGUCAGAGGG